UCAAAUUUAUCAUAAUUGUAGAUGGAAAAUUGAUAGCUGGUGCAAAAUAUUGAUGAUUGAUGUACCUACCCUACAAGGGCGUACUGAAAGUUUUUGAGAAGUACAAUUUUUCGAAUCCUUGAAUAGGUACAAUUGCGACCGGAAAAACUUCUUUGGAGUUGAAAGGGUAAAUUGAGUUUUUCUCGAGGUUUCUCUAGGAGUUCAACUUUUGCUGCCACUCUUGCCAUAAGGAUAGGUGUAUCAGCCUCUUCCUCACAGUGGAUGAGUGCUGUCAGGCUAUUUCUGCAUGACUGUUCCAGGCAUAGGGAGAGAGAUUCGCUCGAUUUUAUUUGCUUUUCUAGUAAAUCCAAAAUUCUUUGCUGUCAUUAACGAAACAUUUUUUUGUGUGCAAUGGAAGCUCUUCUGAUUCCAUUACACUGAUUUUCUACUCUCAUAGCAUGGGAAAAUGAUACCAUAAAUUGCACUUGCCACACGGUUACAAUACUCACUACUUUGUAGAAUAUAAUGUUAUUCAAUAAAUUGUUAUCUUUUA